GACGAACGCUGGCGGCGUGCUUAACACAUGCAAGUCGGACGGUCGGCACUGGAAGGUUCGCUGGAAGGUGCCGGUAGUGGCGGACGGGUGAGUAACGCGUGAGGACAUGGCUCCAGGAGGGGGAUAACGUUUGGAAACGGACGCUAAGACCCCAUAUGCCGGAAGGUGAAAGUGGGCAACCAGCCUGGAGAGUGACUCGCGUCCUAUCAGCUAGUUGGCGGGGUGAAGGCCCACCAAGGCGAUGACGGGUAGCCGACCUGAGAGGGUGGCCGGCCACACUGGAACUGAGAUACGGUCCAGACUCCUACGGGAGGCAGCAGUAGGGAAUAUUGCGCAAUGGGGGAACCCUGACGCAGCAACGCCACGUGUGGGAAGAAGCAUUCGGUGUGUAAACCACUGUCGGAAAGGAAUAACGGAAGACUUCGGUCUUUAUGAAUGUACUUUUAGAGGAAGCACCGGCAAACUUCGUG
rnacentral:rRNA from 1 species